rnacentral:lncRNA from 1 species
UUUUUUUUUUUUUUUUUCUCUUUUUUUUUUUUUUUGCUUUUUUAGGGCCACACUAGUGGCAAUGGAAGUUCCCAGGCUAGGGGUCCAAUCGGAACUAUAGCUGCCAGCCUACACCAGAGCCACAGCAACACCAGAUCUGAGCCUCGUCUGUGACCUACACCACAGCUCACAGCAACACCCUAUCUCUAACCCACUUAGCAAGGCCAGGAAUUGAACCCACAACCUCAUGGUUCCUAGUCAGAUUUGUUUCCACUGUGCCACGACAGGAACUUCUCCUUUGUGAUAUUUAAAAGCAAAUCCCAAAUAUAUAGUUUUGUUCCUUACUAUAAUAAGGAUCCAACUCUAAAAUAUAAACAUUUUCAUACAUACCACAGACAUUCAUGAAAUGUAAAAAUUUAUUGCUAACAUCUAGUAUCAAUUCCAUAACCACAUUUCUUUGAUGUCUCAAAAAAUUUCUUUUUAUAGUUUAUUUGUUCAAAUCAGAAUCCAAAUAAGAUCCAUAGCAUGUAUUUGGUUGUUAGAUCUUUUAAGUCUCCUUUAACCCAGGGCACUGGUUUUUUCUUUCCUCCUUUUUUUUUUCCUUUUAAAAAAUUUAUGUCAUUGAUUUGUUGUAGAAACUGGAUUAGUUGUCCUAUAAAAUGUCUAAAUAUUGCAUAAUAAAAACUCUUCAAUUAAAAAAAAAAAGGACAAAAUGCAGGGUUUGAGCCUUUCAACUUCCAGUAAGUCAGCCCAUCUCUUUGGAAUGUUCUUUGAAGUGUCUGGCAUUCAAUCCAGUCCAGUGAACCAUAAACACUCACCACGCUUGGCACACAUACGCAGGCUGCUAAAUAACAGUGCUUUUGCUGGAUGUUUGAAUUUUAUCAUUCAGGCUUCUCAGGUUCUUGACCUGUUUACUCACUGUGAUUUGUCUACUGUUACUAAAUUAACAGAAUCUGAAAAUAGCACUAUUUCUGAAACAUUUUUUUAAAAAGCAAUUAAGAUAAUGCCUGUUUGCUAAACUCCAUCUUCUCUACUUCAGAAAUUAGAAAAUUAAAAAUAGUUGAACUGGAGGUAGCAUCCGUAAAAGCCAAAUUUGGUUCCACUUUGAAGAUGCAGAGAAGAAGCAGUGACCAGACAAUGCAUGUUUUCUUCACUUCAGCGUCUGCCUUCACCUUUGAUUUCUUUGCUAUAAUUAGCCUCUGUUGCCAGUUAAGCUAAGAACUUACUACCUGCAGUAACUAGAUCAGGAGUUCUUUUAGCUUUGUUGUUUCAAUAGUGCAUGAAUAUUAUUACAAAUUUAAAAGGGUUUUUUAAAAUGUCUAUCUCAUGCUAAUCAUUUUGACUCAUUUACUAAUUUGAAUAUUCAAAGCAAAGGUAUACUUCCAAAUCAAGCAUAGGCCAUAUUUACAGAAAACUGGAUAUUUAAUGUUUUUUCACUUCUGGAAAACCAAAAACAGUAUCUUCAUUGAACCUGUGCUCACACAUUCUGGACUUAACCCUGGUUCUACAACUUACAUGCUAGAGAAACCAUUUAAUUUUUCCAAGCCAUAGUUUUCUCAGGAAAAAUGAACGCACUCUACUUAAUUUAUAGGGACUUAGGGGUAAUAGGUGAAACGGUUUAAAGUGUAGCUUGGGUAAUUUUGGGUGUGUUCUUUGGAUCAGGCCCUAAACUAGGAGACGGUUGACAGAUAUGUAUUUGCUAUUUUAUUUGGCCAUGCCUUCGGAGGAGGGAUUGAACCCACGAUACAGUUUCAACCUGUUCCGAAGCUGUGGCAAUGUUGGAUCGUUAGCCCCCUUCACCAUAAGGGAGCUUCCCAUAUUAGUUAUUUUAAGAUGAAAGAGGGAGUUCCCAUUGUGGUGAAGUGGAAACGAAUCCAGCUAGGAUCCAUGAAGAUGCAGGUUCAAUCCCUGGCCUUGCUCAGUGGGUUGGGAAUCUGGCGUUGCCGUGAGCUAUGGUGUAGGUCAAAAAUGAGGCUCGGAUCCCGCAUUGCCGUGGCUGUGGCAUAGGCCAGCAGUUUCAGCUCCAAUUCGACCCCUAGCCUGAGAAAUUCCAAAUGCCGUGGAUGUGGCCCUAAAAAGCAACAAAGUUUUUAAAAAAAUUUUUUUAAAUAAAAAAUAAAGAUGAAAGAGAAAGGUUUGAGAACCAGGAUCCUCGAAUCCUCAACUAGCCAGCUACUGUGGCUUCAGCUGCCCCCUCUUGAACCCUUUAAGAGAUAAGUAGAGAGGACCAGGUUAAACAGACACCAGCCAAAGAUAAGAGCUGGAGCCUUGACAUAUGUUUGGGAUGAAUUGGGUGGUCAGCGGAUAAUCUUUCCUGUGGUCCACUGAUAAUUAGUUACUCUUUGUGCUCCUAUAACUCUUUGGAUUCAUCAUAUUCUGCCUUGUAGGAUAUUUAUUUUGUACAAAUAUAUACCAUCCACUUAAAUAUCUUAAGAGCAGGGGUCAUAUUUAUCUUCCUAGAAUUUCCUAAUGUAGUAAGAACUCAAUAAAUGUUUAUUUAAUCAAAUUGGCACUUGAAUGGCCAGAAAUGUCACCUCAUCAUAUGGUCUUCAAUUAGAAAAGACUUCGUAGUUGCAAAGUCGAAAAAGCAACUUAAACCAAGCCAAACUACACUAUACACUAACAAUGAGAUUAACAUUGGAAGGUAAUAUUCCAGGAGUUAUAAUGGACAAGCUGAAUUAAGUAUUGGUUUAUCCAUUCAUUUAGCAAACGUUUGUUGAGAACUUGUUGUACGUUAGACACUGUGCUUGAUGAACAGGAUGCCAAGGUGAAACUCAGCACUCAGGGAGUUCACAGUUUCAGUUGUGUUGAAUCUGGGAAUAGGUUUUGUUUUUUUUUUUUUUUUUGGGGGGGGGGUGUCUUUUGAGGGCCGCACCUGUGGCAUAUGGAAGUUCCCAGGUUAGGGUCGAAUCGUAGUUAUAGUCACCAUCCUACGCCACAGCCACAGCAACUCAGGAUCCAAGCCGAGUCUGCAACCUACACCACAGCUCACAGUGACGCCAGAUUCUUAACCCACUGAGCGAGGCCAGGGAUUGAACCUGCUUCCUCAUGGAUACUAGUCAGAUUAAUUUCCACUGAGCCACGAUGGGAACUGCUGGGAAUAAUUUUUAAUAAUAAAGAAUAAUAGGAUUUAUAGGUUACAGGAGUCCUAAAAAGAAGUAGUUUAUAAUAUUAAACAUAGUUACUAUAAUUUAAUGAAUAGUAACUAAUUCUAAUUCCACAUACCAGCUAUUAUGAUUUUAGGCAAAUUGUAUAAUAUCUUCAAAUUUGUUUCCUCAUCUGUAGAGUGGAGUAUUGUGAAGAUUCAAUUAUAUACAGUAAGCCAAACAACUAGGAUAGCUCUUGGCAUAUAAACUUAUGUCUUUAUUAAUUACUCAGUGAUUAUUUGAUCACCAGUGAGGCUUCCCAGAAGGUAUUAGAAAUCCUGCCUGACAGGAAGUUCCCUUGUACCACAGCUUGUUAAGGAUCCAGCAUUGCUGCAACUGUGGCACAGGCCACAGCUGCAGCGCGGGUUCAAUCCUUGGCCUGGGAACUUCCAUGUGCCACAGGUACAGCCAGAAAAAAAAGGAAGAAAGAAAACCUGCCCGACAGAUGCUAAGAAUCACAGUGGCUUGUAAGUAUAUAAUUCACAACAUGUAUAAAAGUUUAAACAUCUUUCUGACAGAAAAGAUCAGAUUCCCCUACUCCAAGAAGCCAAAGCCCCUCCUUAUUCCAGAAUAACAUGAGUUGACCUUUCCAAGUAUAUAGGGUCACUCCAACCAGGCCCAGUACUUUUCUUUUUAUCUUUCUUUUUUUCUGCUUUUUAGGGCUGCAUCUACAGCAUAUGGAGGUUCUCAGGCUAGGGGUCAAAUCGAAGCUACAGCUACUGGCCUACACCACAGCCACAGCAUCGCCAGAUCCUAGCCGCAUCUGCGCCUAUGCCACAGCUCACGGCAGUGCCGGAUCCUGAACCCAUUGAGUGAGGCCGUAACCUCAUAGUUCCUGGUCAGAUUCCUUUACGCUGCGCCACGACGGGAACUCCAAGGCCCAGUACUUUUCUUUACGGAUUCCCUCUACCUCCUCCCAACUCUUCCUCAUCUGGUGCUAAUGCUCCCCUAGGGGUUCCUAGGGGAGAAGGAUGAACAUAAGGAAAGGCAGGGCUCUGUACAAAAGUGUUCAAUUUCAAUCUUUAUGCAACCUUUUUUUUUUUUUUUUUUUUUUUUUUUUUGCUUUUUAGGGCCAUACCCUGGCAUAAGGAAGUUCCCAGGUUAGGGGUUGAAAUGGAGCCACAACCACCAGCCUACGCAACAGCCACAGCAACGCUGGAUCCGAGCCACAUCUGCAACCUACACCACAGUUCAUGGUAACACCGGAUCCUUAAUCCACUGAGUGAAGCCAGGGAUCGAACCUGCAUCCUCCUGGUUACUAGUUGGAUUCAUUUCUGCUGCACCACAACGGGAGCCCCUCUUUGUGCAAUCUGUGGGCCCAUCAUGGCUUCUAGGUUUUGUUUUAGGCUAAGGAAGUUCUUUCCUACCCCAAAUAUUGAAAGAUAGAGAUAGAUAGAUAGAUAAAUAGAUAGAUUUUUUUUUUACAGUUUUAUUGUUUUGUUUUUCACAUUUAAUCUUUAAGCCACCAGUAAUUUAUGGAUAGCUAGUUAUCCUUAUGCUGUUUGUAUUGAAUAAUUCAGUCUUCCUCUAUUGACUUGAAAUGCCCCUUGAGCAUGUAUGAAACCCUCUAAGUAUAGUCAUGUUAUUUUCUGGACUCCGUUCCACUCCACUGAUCCAGUUGUCUUUUCCUGAUUAGUACCACACUAUCCUGUUUACAGUAUUUUAUAUACUUCUCUUCAGUGUCUUAUGGAUCAAGUCUUCUUUUGUUAGAGUUGUUUUUCAAAACUUUCUUGGCUGUUUUCAAAUAUGUACUCUUUCAGAUAAACUAGAGAGUCAACUUUUAUUUUUCAUUAUUUACUUACUUAUUUUUUGGCUGCUCCCACAACAUAUGGAAGUUCCCAGCUCAGGAUUGAACCUGUGCAACAGCAAUGACCUGAGCCACUGCGGUGAAAACACUGACUCUUUAACCCAUUGUGCCACAAGAGAACUCUUGAGAAUGGACUUUUAUUGUUUUAAUUUUUUGGCCACACCCAUGGCGUGUGGAAGUUCCCAGGCCUGGAAUCAAACCCAAGCUGCUGGAUCCUUAACCAACAAGCCACAAGAGAACUCCUCAGCUUUUAAAUAUAAAAAAAUUUGUUGGGGAGUUCCCGUCGUGGCGCAGUGGUUAACGAAUCCGACUAGGAACCAUGAGGUUGCGGGUUCGAUCCCUGCCCUUGCUCAGUGGGUUAACGAUCCGGCGUUGCCGUGAGCUGUGGUGUACGUUGCAGACGCGGCUCGGAUCCCGCGUUGCUGUGGCUCUGGCGUAGGCUGGUGUCAACAGCUCCGAUUAGACCCCUAGCCUGGGAACCUCCAUAUGCCGCAGGAGCGGCCCAACAAAUGGCAAAAGACACAAAAAAAAAAAAAAAAA